CACGGGAAGGUUUUCUCUCUCCGUGACAUAGUUAUAUACUCGUCCCGUUGGCUUCUUAAACAUGGUUUCAAGAACUCCUAUAUCAUAUUUGAGCGAGUGUUGUGCCAUGUAGGUCAUUUUAUUUUGGAGGCUGAGAGUCAAUGGGCACAUGCAUUUCAAUCUCCACAGACUAUUUCUGAUGACUUUCCCGGAAUAUCAGGUCAGUUCACACUUCCUUCAACUCUGCCAGUCUUUAGCAUGAGAUACAAAAGUAUAUUUGGUUUUAUUUCAGUGAAAUGUAACAUUUCAUUUCUUUACAACCAGGAAGACAUUUUUUCAUGCUUUGACCAUCUUACAAUUUUUCUUGCAUGAAUUAGUUGCUUACUUGAAUUAUCAAAUGUAAGAGCGCUUUGCAUGUUAGGGACCCGAUGGCGUCUUUCACAGUGUAGACGUCGUCAGCUUUUCUGAAGCAAAAUUUGUUAUAAUUUCCUUUUGACUGUCUUUUGAAAAAUUUCUUUACCCUAAGGGUAAACAAAUAUCAUCUAAUACUCUUUGCUUAUAUAGUCAUACUUUUUAUUAUUUCAAUAGUUUUUGGGAACAAGUGGUGUUUGGUUGCAUGGAAAAGUUCUUUAGUGUUGAUUUCUGAGAUUUAGGUGCCCCGUCCACCCGAGCCAUGUACACUGUACCCACUGUGUAGUCGUUGACUGUCACCCUUUUCCCACCAUUCCCCCAAAUAGCAAGUGCCCCUUCUAUCAUUCUUAUGCCUUUGCAUCCUCGUAGCCUAGCUCCCACUAAUAAGUGAGAACGUGUGAUGUUUGGAUUUCCAUUCCUCAGUUGCUCACUUAGAAUCAUAGUCUGCAGCUCCAUCCAGGUUGUGUGGGUGCCAUUAUUUCAUUCCUUUUUAUGGCUGAGUAGUAUUCUAUUGUGUAUACAUACAUACAAAUCAGCGGAUAGAGAAAAGGUGAUAUAUGUAUAGGCUGGUUGAUUUAAGCUGGUUCCAUAGUCUUGGAAUUGCACACUGUGCUGCUAUAAACAUGUGGGUGCAAGUCUCUUUUUCAAAAGAUGACUUCUUUUCCUCUGGGUAGAUACCCAGUAGUGGGAUUGCUGGAUCCAAUGAUAGUUCUACCUUUUGUUCUUUAUGGAGUCUAAAUACUGUUUUCCACAGUGGUUGCACUAGGUGACGUUCCCACCAGCGGUGUAAAAGUGUCCCUUUCACCGCAUCCGUGGCAGCCUCUGUUUUUGUUUGUUUCUGUUUUUAUUCCCACAGGAGUUAGGUUGCAUUGUGGUUGUGAUUUGCGUUUCCCUGAUAAUUAGUGCUAUUGAGCCUUUUCUCAUGUAUUUGUUAGGCAUUUGUAUAUCUUCUUUGAGAAUCUUCUAUUUAUGUCCUUUGCCCAGUUUUUGCUGGGGUUUUUUGUUGGUUUCUUUGUUUGUUUUUGAGACAGUCUCACUCUGUUGCCCUGGCUGGAGUGCAGCGGCAUGACCUUGGCUCACUGAAGCCUUGGCCUCGUGGGUUCAAGUGAAUCUUCUGCCCCAGCCUCCCGAGUAGCUGGGAUUACAGAUGCCCACCACCACACCUGGCUAAUUCUUGUAUUUUUAGUAGAGAUGGGGUUUCAGUAUGUUGGCCAGGCUGGUCUCGAACUCUUUGUUUUUUUAAUUGCAUUUUAGGUUUUGGGGUACAUGUGAAGAACAUGUAAGAUAGUUGCAUAGGUACACACGUGGCAGUGUGAUUUGCUGCCUUCCUCCCCUUCACCUAUAUCUGGCAUUUCUCCCCAUGUUAUCUCUCCCCAACUCCCUACCCCGUGGCUGUCCCUCCCCUAUUCCCCCCAACAGACCCCAGUGUGUAGUACUCCCCUCCCUGUGCCCAUGUGUUCUCAUUAUUCAACAGCCGCCUAUGAGUGAGAACAUGCAGUAUUUCAUUUUCUGUUCUUGUGUCAGUUUGCUGAGAAUGAUGGUCUCCAGGUUCAUCCAUGUCCCUACAAAGGACAUGAACUCAUCAUUUUUUAUGGCUGCAUAAUAUUCCAUGGUGUAUAUGUGCCACAUUUUUCCUGUCCAGUCUAUCAUCGAUGGGCAUUGGUCUCGAACUCUUAACAUAAAGUGACCCACCUGCCUUAGCCUCCCAAAGUACUGGGAUUAUAGUCAUGAGCCACCACACCUGACUGUAUGUUUUAUUCUUGCUGAUUUGAGUUCCUUUUAGAUUCUGUAUAUUAGUCCUUCGUUAGAUUUAUAGAUUGUAUUUUCUCCCUUUCUGUGGGUUAUGUUUACUCUGAUGAUUGUUUCUUUUGCAGAAGCUUUUUAGUUUAGUCCCAUCUAUGUAUCUUUGUUUUUGUUGUAUUUGCUUUUGGAUUCUUGGUCAGGAACUCUUUGCCUAAGCCAACAUCUAGAAGAGUUUUUCUGAUGUUAUCUUGUAGAUUGUUUAUGGUUUCAGGUCUUAGACUUAAGUCUUUGAUCCAUCUUGAGUUGAUAUUUGUAUAAGGUGAGAGAUGAAGAUACAGCUCGAUUCCUCUACAUGUGGCUUGCAAAUCAUCCCAGCACCGUUGGUUGAAUAAGGUGUCCAUUCCCCACUUGAUGAUUUUGUUUGCUUUGUUGAAGCUCAGUUGGCUCUAAGUAUUUGGCUUUAUUUAUGGGUUCUCUAUUCUGUUCCGUUGGUCUACAUGCCUAUUUUUAUAUCGGUAUCAUGCUGUUUUGGAAACUGUAGCCUUGUAGUAUGGUUUGAAGUCGGGUAGUGUGAUGCCUCCACAUUUUUUAUUUGGUUAGUCUUUCUUGGAUAUAUGGGGUCUUUUUUGGUUCCAUAUAAACUUUAGAAUUUUUUUUUUUUAGUUCUGUGAAGAAUGAUGAUGGCGUUUUGAUGGAAAUUGCCUUGAAUUUGUAGAUUGCAUUUGACAAUAUGGUCAUUGUCACGCUACUGAUUCUACCCAUCCAUGAUCAUGGCGUGUGUUUCCAUUUAUCUGUGUUGUCUAUGAUUUCUUUGAGCAGUAUUUUGUAGUUUCGUUGUAGAGAUCUUUUAUCUUCUGGGUAAGGUAUGUUCCUAAGUGUUCUGUUUGUUUGCCUCUGUUUUUUGCAGCUGUUGGGACGGGCGUUGACUUCUUCAUUUGUUCCUCAGCUUGCUCAUUGUUGGCAUAUAGCAGUGUUACUGAUUUGUGUACACCGAUUUUGCAUCAUGAUACCUUACUGAAUUCGUUUAUUAGAUCUAGGAGCUUUUUCAUUCAGUCUGUAGGGUAUUCUAGUUAUACAAUCCUAUCAUCAGAGAAGAGGCAGUAUGCCUUCCUGCUCACCAACUUGGAUGCUCUUUAUUCCUUUCUCUUGUCUGAUUGCUGUGGCUAGGGCAUCUAGUAUUAUGUCGAAUAGAAGUGGUGAAAGUGGGCAUCCUUGUCUUGUUCCAGGUCUCAGGGGAAAUUGCUUUCAACUUUUCCCCAUUCAGUAUAAUGUUGGCUAUGGGUUUGUCCUAUAGGGUUUUUAUUACCUUGUCGUGUACAUUCUAUGCUGAUUUUACUGAGUGUUUUAAUUGUAAAAUGGGUGCUGGAUUUUGUUAAAUAUUUUUUUUUCCGUCUAUUGAGAUAAUCUAUGAUUUUUGUUUCUAAUUCUGUUUAUGUCAGGUAUCACAUUUACACACUUUCAUAUGUUAAAGCAUUCCUGCAUCCCUGGUGUGAAACUCACUUGACCACAAUGUAUUAUCUUUCCGUUGUGCUGGUUGAUUCAGUUAGCUAGUAUUUUGUUGAGGAUUUUUGCAACCAUAUUUGUGGGAGAUAUCAGUCUGUAGUGUUCUGUUUUUGUUAUGUCCUUUCCUGGUUUUGGUAUUAGAGUGCUACUGCCUUCAUGGAAUGAUUUAGGGAGAGUUCCCUCUUUAAUUUUGGAAUCGUUUCUAUAUGAUUGGUAGCAAUUCUUUGAAUGCUGGAUAGAAUUCAGCUGUGAAUUCAUCCUGGACAUUUCACUUUUUAUUUACUGUUUCUCUUUUUGCUUUGCUUUGCGCUCUCUCUCUCUCUCUCUCUCUCUCUCUCUCAGAUGGAAUCUCACCCUGUUGCCCAGGCUGGAGUGCAGUGGCAUGAUCUCGGUUAACUGCAACCUCUGCCUCCCAGGUUCAAGCGCUUCUCCCACCUCACCCUCCCAAGUAGCUGGGAUUAUAGGCAUGUGCCACCAUGGCCAGCUAAUUUUUUCCAUUUUUAGUAGAGACAGGGUUUCACCAUGUUGCCAGAGUGGUCUUGCCCAUCUGGCCUCAGGUGAUCUGACCACCUUGGCCUCCCAAAGUACUGGGAUUACAGGCAUGAGCUACGGCGCCCAGCCUAUUAGUGUUUUAAUCUCACCACUUGGUAUUGAUCUGCUAAGAGUUUCUGUUGCUUCCUGAUUUAAUCUACGAGGGUUGUAUGUUUCCAGAUAUAUAUGUGUCUCCUCUAGAUUUUCUAGUUUGUGUGCAUAAACCUGUUCAUAGUAGCCUUAAAUGAUAUUUUGUAUUUUUGUGGUGUCAGUUGUAAUAUUUCCCAUUUCCUUUCUAAGUGAGCUUAUUUGCAUCUUCUCUCUUCUAUUCUUGGUUAAUCUCACUAAUGAUCUAUCAAUUUUAUCUUUUCAAAGAACCAGCUUUUUGUUUCAUUUAUCUUUUGUGUUGUUUGUUUCAGUUUCAUUUAAUUCUGCUCUGAUCUUUGUUAUUUCUUUUCUUUUGUUAGGUGUGGGCUUGGUUUGUUUUUGUUUCUCUAGUGACCUGAGGUGUGACCUUAGAUUGCCUAUUUGUGCCUUUCGGACUUUUUGAGGUAGGCAUUUAAUGCUACGAACGUUUCUCUUAGCAUGGCUUCUGCUGUGUCCUAGAGGUUUUGAUACGUUGUGUCACGGUUCUCAUUCAGUUCAAAUAAUUUUUAAAUUUCCUCCCAAAGAUCAUUCAGGAGCAAUUAUUUAAUUUCCAUGUAUUUGUGUAACUUUGCAGGUUCCUUUUGGAGUUCCAAUUUUAUUCCACUAUAAUCUGAAAAGAUACCUGAUACAGUUUUGAUUUUCUUAAAUUCAUCGAGACUUGUUUUGUGGCCUACCAUAUGCUGUACCUUAGAGAAUGUUCCAUGUACUGAUGAAAAGAAUGUAGAUUCUGCAGCUGUUGGGCAGAAUGUUAUGUAAAUACCCAUCAAGUCCAUGUGUCCUAGGGUAGAGUUUAAGUCCACUGUUUGCUUCUUGACCGUCUGUCUCGAUGAGCGGUCCAGUCCUGUCAGGAGUACUGAGUGCCUCACGAGUACUGGGUUGCCAUCUAUCUUAUUUCUUAUGUCCAGUUUCUUAUUGUUUUAUAAAUUUUAGAUCCUCCAUGUUAGAUGCAUAUCUGUUUAGGAUUGUGCUAUUUUCCUGUUGGAGUGAUGCUUUUAUCAUUGUAUAAUGUUUCUCUUUGUCUUUUUUAAUUGUUGCUUUAAAGUCUGUUUUGUCUGAUACAAGAAUAAUUGCUCCUGCUUGCUUUGCUUUUUGUUUCUGUUUUCAUGGAGUAUCUUUUCCACCCGUUACCAUAAGUUUCUGUCAAUCCUUAUACAUUACGUGUCUCUUGAAGACAGAAGACACUUGGUUGUGAAUUUUUCUCCAUUCUGCCUUUCUGUAUCUUUUAAGUGGAGCAUUGAGGCCAUUUAUACUCCAUAAGCUGCUGUUUUAUUUAUCAUGCUAGUUGUUGCUUGAAUACCUUGGUUUUUUCUUUGUGUUACUGUUUUGUAAGUCCAUGAGAUUUAAGCUUUAAGAAGGUCCUAUUUUGGUAUAUUUUGAGGUUUUGUUUUAAGAUUUAGAACUCCUGGCCAGGCGCGGUGGCUCACGCCAGUAAUCCCAGCACUUUGGGAGGCCGAGGCAGGUGGAUCAUGAAGUGAAGAGAUCGAGACCAUCCUGGUCAACAAGGUGAAACCCCGUCUCUACUAAAAAUACAAAAAUUAGCUGGGCAUGGUGGCGCGUGCCUGUAAUCCCAGCUACUCAGGAGGCUGAGGCAGGAGAAUUGCCUGAACCCAGGAGGCGGAGGCUGCGGUGAGCCGAGAUUGCGCCAUUGCACUCCAGCCUGGGUAACAAGAGCGUAACUCCAUCUCAAAAAAAAAAAAAAGAUUUAGAACUCCUUUUAGCAUUUCUUAUAGUACUGGCUUGGUAACGGCUAGUUUCCUCAGCAUUUGUUUGUCUGAAAAAGACAUGAUCUCUCCUUCAUUUAUGAAGCUUAGUUUUACUGAAUACAAAAUCCUUGGCUGUCAGUUAACUUGUUUGAGGAGGCUGAAGAUAGGAGGCCGAUCCCUUCUGGCUUGUAGAGUUUCUGCUGGGAAAUGUGCUGCUAAUCUGAUAGGGUUUCCUUUAUACGUUGCUUUUGCCUCACACAGCUCUGAAGACUCCUUGCUUUGUCUUGACUGUAGGUCACCUGCUGACUGUGUGCCUGGGUGAUGAUCUGUCUGCAAUGAGCUUCUUGCCUUUGGAUGUCCAGAACCCUCACAAGGCCGGGGAAGGUUUCCUUGAGGAUCCAAACUUGUAGAUUUGUCCUUUUCCUUAGGGAUACUCAUUAUUCUUAGGUUUGGCCAUUUAACAUAAUUCCAAUUUUCUUGGAGGCUUUUUUUAAAAUUUAUUUUUUCUUUCUCUUUAUUUGACAGGGUUAAUUCAAAAGGCCUGUUUCUGAGCUCUGACGUUCUUUCUUGUUGUUGUUCGAUUCCACUGUUGAAACUUUUCAGUGCAUUUUUCUAUUUAUCUAAGUGUGUCAUUCAUUUCCAGAAGUUGUGAUUGUUUCUUCUUUAUAAUCUCUAUUCUUCUGAAUUAAGUUUCAGCUAUAUCCUUUAUUGAUUUAAGUUGGUUUUCAUCUUUUUCUGGUAUUCUCUUGAGUGGCUGAAUAAUUCAAAUUCUUUAUCUGGCAAUCCGGAGAUUUUCUUCUUGGUUUGGUUCCAUUGCUGGGGAGCCAGUGUGGUCUUCUGAGGGUAGAAUGAUUAAUUUUCUAAUUCCUUCUCAUUCAUGUAGAUUAUUUCAGUGGGAAGGGCUGGAACUUAAGGGCUGCUGGUCAGAUUCUUUUGCCCAUGGGGUGGUCCCUUGACUGGGGCGCUCCCCCUUACCCUAGGGAUGGGGCUUCUUGCAAAUGAGACUGCAACGAUUGUUAUUGUUCUUCUGGGUCUCUCCACCCAUCAGGGCUUCCAGGCUGGUGCUGGGGAUGUCUGCACAGAGUCCUAUGAUGUGAUCUGCCUUCAGGUCUCCCAGCUGUGGGUGCCAGCAGCUGCUUCAGCGGAGGUGGCAGGGGAGUGAAGUGGACUCUGUGGGGGUCCUGGGCUGUGGUUGGGUUUACUGUGCUGACUUUCUCAGACGCUGGUGAUUCUAGCAGUGAAGUUGUCACAUGGGCAGACUCGGGACCUCUGGUUAUUCUGGUUGUUGCAGAGGAAUUAGCUCUUGUUUUCUCCUUCCCAGGAGCAGGGUGGUUCUGUCAUGAGUUGCUGUCAUGUCCUGAGCUGGGUGGCCUCAAGCCAGGAAGUGGCACUUCUAAGAGAGCAGCAGAGUAGUCGCCCAUCCUGUGGAAUUCACAGCGGCCUGCAGCUUCUUCCAAAGGCUCUGUGAAUGUUUUUGGUUUUCCUGGUACACUCCCGUAAUGUGGUUCCCAGAGUGAAAGUCCGCGCUAGUCGAGGCCAACAAGUCCCUGCUGAUGCCCAACUGCCUGUGCCCCGUCUCCAUUCCCGUAACCCCGGACAGGGUCUCGUUGGCACAGGAGCAGAGGGUGCCCUGAGUCCGUCUUCAUGUGGGUCUGCCCCAACACUGCACAAAUCCAGCUCAACUGCCUGUGACUUCUCUCCCCUCCAAACUACGAAAGCUGCCUGACCCAGUUUUAAGCACACAUUUUUAAGGGUUCCCUGUUCCACAAUGAAAUAAAGUUGUGUGCAGCGUAACAAGGACGUACUCUUUCCAGAGAACCUCAAGUACAGGAUGCGCUUCUCACAGAAGGUGGAGUGACAGGAAACCUACUCACGCAUGACGGACGGCAGGGGUCCUGACGCUUCAUGCAGAUGUGCUUUCCUCUCGUCGGGAGCUUCACCCUCUUCCAUGAUGUGCAUGUACCGUGGCUUAGUCAGCCAUUGUUCAGCAAGGGAUAUUCAGUUUACGACCAACUUUAGGUUUGCAAACAACGUGGCAAAAAGCGCCUUUGUGCCUGUGCAGUCAGGUACUGACAACAUUGUUCUGCUUCUGUACAACGCUUGAAAGGCAAAGGGCAUUUGCGUUUUAAUUCUUCGUAGUUUCUUUUUGCUUACUUUACCAAAAGCUUGGAACAGUGAAAGUUUCCUUCAGUUUCCUCACUCUUUUCAGCACCAGAUAUUAACAGGCUAUUUUUAGUUUUGUCCACAUAACACAUUAAUUGUUUCAAUGUGCAUUUUCCUUAUUACUGAUGAGACUGGACAUAAUGCCAUUUUUUUUUUUUUUUACCAUUUCACAGUUCUUCUUGUGUGAAUUGGCUUUUCAGAUUUUGUGCACUUUUAAAUGGUGGUGUUUGAUUAUCAAUAUUAAGCGGUCUUUGCACAUUGGGGAUAAGGAUUCUCUGAUCUGUGUGUUUCAAACACUUCUUUCAGUCUGUCUUUUAAAAGUGUGUGUUUAUCAUGUCUUUUGCAAUGUGAAGGUCAUACAUUUUUCUGAAGUCAAAGUUGUCAAAUGUCCCUGUCUUGCUUUAAAAAGUCUUUUCACUCCAGGGUUAUAAAAAAAUCAUCAAAACUC